UAAGCAAUAAAGAGCCCCUUUUUUUUUUUUCUCCUCCACUAUUUCUAGGUUAUUUUUAGGCUUUUGUCAGUGGGUCUUUGCUGCAGACACUCAGGGAUCUGGAGAAGUUCUCCUGUUUCACAUGCCCAGAGGAAGGGGAGCAACAUGCAGGGCAGGAGGUGCCAGUAAGAAGGGCUUCCCAACCCCGAUGGGGAUGCCCACGCCUUGGAGCACCCACUGCCCUGUGCAGCACACAGGAGCAAGCUCCUCUUCUCCCACCCAGCUGUGCUGUGCAAGACUUGGCCUUCCACAAGGGAGCUGUGAUGCCCACAUCUUCCCAGCUAUGCCAACAGCAGCCUUCACCUCUCCAGAGCCCAACCAAGGCAGCUCCUCCACGUGGUGCCAGCAGGGAGAUCCCUGUGCUGCUCCAGCUGCAGCCCACAGCAAGCUUGUUGUCUCCUGGAGAAUUGCAAAACCCGGAGCUUCGCUGCAGCUCUAAGAAGCUCAGAAAGAGACAGAACCUGCUGGAAGGCAGACGCCCACGUCGGCGCUGGGCCAGCUCGAACCUUCCAGGCUGUUUCGCAGCCCCGCAGCUGCUUGGCAAGGACACUGCUGACCCUCCCACGUCACAGCCCCGAGCAGCCGGGGCCAGCUGUGUCCAGGCGCUGGGCUGGGCUUGCUGUUUUUCUGCUUUAUCAGGAUCUUGCUGAGCUCGGCGGUGAGUGGGUCAUGUUUGUGCAGUGCUGGUUAUGUAAGCGCUCAGGGUUGCCCCGGAGGCUCGGCCGGAGCCGGGGACAGCCGAUCCCGCAGCCCUGCGCUCCGGGCAGUUGUGUCGCUGUCCCGGCUCGUUACGGAGGUGCCCGGCGUGUCCCUGAGCUGCCCGAGGCCCGGUGCCGUCAGGCUGCAGGCCAGGGGCCGCUGGCCGAGCCGCGCACCGGGGCAGCGCUGCAGCAGCCGCGGUCACCCCGCGCUGGCUCCCGGCGCUGCCAAGCGGCCGCGCCUG